rnacentral:rRNA from 1 species
GAUGAACGCUGGCGGCGUGCUUAACACAUGCAAGUCGAACGGGAAACCUGUUAAUGAAGCUUCGGCAGAUUUUGCUGGGUUCUAGUGUCCGACGGGUGAGUAACGCGCGGGUAACCUGCCUUAUACAGGGGGAUAACAGUCAGAAAUGACUGCUAAUACCGCAUAAGCGCACAGGACCGCAUGGUCCGGUGGUAAAAACUCCGGUGGUAUAAGAUGGACCCGCGUUGGAUUAGCUUGUUGGUGGGGUAACGGCUCACCAAGGCGACGAUCCAUAGCCGGCCUGAGAGGGUGAACGGCCACAUUGGGACUGAGACACGGCCCAGACUCCUACGGGAGGCAGCAGUGGGGAAUAUUGCACAAUGGGGGAAACCCUGAUGCAGCGACGCCGCGUGAAGGAAGAAGUAUCUCGGUAUGUAAACUUCUAUUAGCAGGGAAGAUAGUGACGGUACCUGACUAAGAAGCCCCGGCUAACUACGUG